UUCUAUUAGAUUAUUAUCAAUAGUAAAAUCUGCUCAAUGAAAAAUUAAAUAGCCGCAUUAGUGCUAAGGUAGCAUAAUCAUUUGUCUUUUAAUUAAAGACCAGAACAAAAGAUUUAACUUCUAGAAUAUUAUUUUAAUUUUAUAAAUUUAAAUUAUCUUAAAUGUAAAAAGACAUUUAUUUUUAAAAAAGACGACAAGACCCUAUCGAACUUAACUAAAGUUAAACUGGGGCAGUUAAUUAAUUAAAACUUUAAUUUCAAUAAUAAAACAAACAGACCUAAUUUAAUUAAAUAUAUAAACAAGUUACCGUAGGGAUAACAGCGUAAUUUUAUUUUUAAGAUCUUAUAAAAAAUAAAGAUUGCGACCUCGAUGUUGAUUAACAUUAUAUUUGACGCAUUAGUGAAUAAUAAGAAAGUUUGGUCGAGUUUUAAAAAGUUACA
rnacentral:rRNA from 1 species